UUUCUAAAAGUGAAAGAAAUUUCACAGAAGCAUGUAUAGAAAUUCUUAAAAAAUCUGAGUACUAAAGAUUUACUUCAGUAGAACAGCUGCUGACCUGUAGUAUCUUGGACGUGAAGUAAGCAAUCAGAAUAACAAGACUUUCCUAGAAUAUCAGAUUCCCACAUUAGCGCAUAAUCAGAACCAAAUGCAAGCAUCAGGUCUCAAGCCCCACACUUUCCCUGAAAAGCAAAAGGUGGGAGCUGGAAGGAUGACAAUAUGGUAGCAUGGGGAGGUCAUCUAAAAAAUGGUAACUAAUUAAGCAACCACAUUAAAAAUAACUUGUGUUGUCUUGUCACUGUGUACUUUCCUGUUAAUAUGAGCUCCUAGAAAUUCUGUCAUUCGUAAUCUCUUUGUGCAGGUGCUGAUGCUUGAUGCUUUUUGAUAGCAAAUGAGAGAAAACCAAGAAAAAACGCUCAUUGUGCAUUAAGUCAUCUGCCCUCGCUGCAAAGAAUUUCCAAAAGAAAUUUCUUCUUUCAGAAGGUCAGGACCAUCAUCACUCAACACAAUAAGAGAAAAAGUGGCUCUCCUCCACCCCCCAAUUCCAGAGGCUUUAGAAUGUAAGUGGCAAAAUACUGGGGGAAAAGGGGAGAGUUCUGUCUCUUGAGAAUGUUUGAAAACUAACACUCCAUCAAGGAAGGAAUCUAGUUUUUUUGAGAACAUACAUAACAAUCUCAUGAGAUCAGUAAUAUUCUCCCCAUUUUAAAUAUAAGGAACCUAAGGCCAUGGGAAGUUAAUUAUUUUCCAUAUAGAAAGUUGCAAAAUACAAAUUCAAAUCCAGUUCAUGUUUUUUUCCAAUUCUGUGUUCUUUUCAAACUAAGUGGCCAAUUUCAAAAUUAAAUAUAUAUAA
rnacentral:lncRNA from 1 species